GCUGCAUUCUCCCCCACUUCUGUCUUAGGUCCGCGGCACCAGGAUGGUUGGUUCUGAAAUGGUGGUGACAGUUGAGUUUACCAAUCCUCUAAAAGAAACUCUGCGGAAUGUGUGGAUACACCUGGAUGGUCCUGGACUGAUGAAGCCAAAGAGGAAGAUGUUCCGUGAAAUCCAGCCCAACUCCACUGUGCAAUGGGAAGAAGUGUGUCGACCCUGGGUGUCUGGCCGUCGGAAGCUGAUAGCCAGCAUGACCAGUGACUCCCUGAGACAUGUGUAUGGCGAGCUGGAUUUGCAGAUUCAAAAACAACCUUCUGCAUAAAUGCACAGGGGGGUGAGAUGGACCGGGGUACUGGGCCUCUUGUAGUCUUGGCUAAGGAAAUUCUAAUGCAAAAUAUAGUCAACUCUUGCUUUAACUUGGGUAUGAAGACCCAGCCAGGACUACACGGGGCCCCAGGGUAGAAACGCCAUGUAUUUCAAAGACUACUUUUCAAUGUGACUAUUCAAUAUGGAAGUUAGUUUUUAAUCACUCCACCUUCCAAAAGAUUCUGAGCAUUAGCUUUAAUUAAGCUCUAAUUAAGUUCUCAUGGCUCAUAAGAGUAGAAGUCAUCAUUUAUCAUCACAAAUGGCUACAGCUCCAAAUAUCAGAGGAUUUCCCUUAACAAGGGGAUUUGCUCAAUACCUGGCUUCAUGUAAAACAAGACUCUGAUCUCCCACUCAGCCUUUUGGAGGUAAUAUACUCCCCAAAAGGGAGAGAAGCACAUGAUUUGGGCCCUAGAAUUCUAUUCCCCUUUCUUUGGAAUCAACUCUCUGUGUCAGAAUAUUUUUCCCAGGUAGUGAGAACAACAUCAUUUUUCUUCUUGGCAAAGCCAGGGCAAGGUCUUUCAUCUUACACCUGCGGCAAAGCAACUGCCUGCCAAAUUUCACAGAUUUACCUUGUGAGAAGAUAUGGCCCCAUAUUAACAAAUUGCAUUUGUGGGAAACUUAAUCACCUAAGAGGAGAUAAGAUAGCAGGUGCAAUACUCAGAUCUAUUAAAUAAUGGAGUUUUAUGGUGCCUUCUAUAAGAGGUGUCACACUGUGGCCUGAUCAGCAGGAACCAAUAUCCUUUACUUUAACUCUUUUGGGGCCACAGGACUAGAAAGUAACAAGGCUGACUUGGGACAGGAAAAAUGAGGAAUUAGUCUCUUUUAUUAGUGAUUAUAUUUCAAGAUCUGUCUCUCUGGGAUCCUCUCUUUCACACAAUGAUGUCCAGGUACAUUUUUAGAGAUAAAACAAGCCCUAUGAGUUGGAGAAUCUGGCAGAUUUAGUGGCCAGACAUGUAGAAGGAUGGGCAGCCACUAAUUCCCUGUUGUCCUUCAUAUCACUCAUGUUGAGACCUCAGCUCAGGACACAGAUGCUAAAAGGUAAUACAGAGUCCAUUUUGCAAGUAGCCAAUGCUAACACAGACCCAAUGACAGAAGAUGUUGACAUCAUUUGUGUUAUGCUCCAAGGUUCCAACAGGCAAGGCUAUCUGCGAUUUAUCUGCAAGGCUGAUUUAUGAUCAAAAUUAUCCAUUGAUAUGCCUAGGGUAUGAUUCUUAGCAAAAACAAAAACAAAGUGGGAAAAGCCAGAAUGAAAUUUUCGGAUCUGCAUAUCCACAUUUCUAAGCCUUUGAGACUAUUCCGGGCACCAGGGAUCCAUGAGGGUUAGUGGUCACCUCCAUAUGUGCAUCAUACCUAAUUCUAUUAAGUAAUUAAUAAUCCCAGCAUUUGCCAAGCUUUCCAAUACUCAAUUUUAAAAUGAAAUGCAUUUUGCUAUAUGGUUAAACUGGCUUAAUAUAGUAUAUGCUUAUUAACUAGAAUGUAAUCAAAGCUUCAAAUAAAGUUAAUGUGAUUAUGUUUGCAUCUGCA